ACAUGUCUACAACUUAGCUUUAAUGCACCAGAUCCCAUUAGAAAUCCGCAGCUAAGCAUGCUCAAGCUAGAGUAGUACUGGGAUGGGUGAGCUCCCGGGAAUUCCUAGUAUUGUACAUGCC
rfam:Picea glauca, whole genome shotgun sequence.